GGGUGUUCAAGUUUUGCAAAUAGGAAAUUAGGGUGUUCAAUUUUAAAACAGUUGAGGAUCUGUGACAUGCUACACACAUACUUUAGGAAACGGUGGUGUGGGAAUUUUGGAUACAAAUAGUUGUUCUUCCUUUUCUCAUUUCAAAACAUCAUUGCUGCAGAAAGGAAGAAUCUUUGAUUAAUCAGAAAAAUCACGAGGUUCAACCAAAAAGUUUCUAAGAUGCCAACAAUGAUUUCCUGGUGGUAGCUAUUUAGAAAACACCGGGUAGUUUGAACACGUUUGGAAUCAUAAGAAAACUCGAUUUCAGCCAGCUUCAAAUCAAAGCAUCAAAUAAAUUCUUCUUGCAGAUAAAUCUUUGUGAACAGUCUUCAGCUUCUGUAUUAUGAUGCUCAGACCUAUGGUAAGUUCUUAUCAAUUUACUUUUAACAGUCAAGUCAUUUGCAAUCAAAUAUUCUUUUUCAACUUAUAGCCUAUUUUUCACACAUUCGGUCUUCAAUAGAUGGGCUAAGGAAUUUCCGCAUGUGACAUUAUAUCAAAUUAUCAUUGAUGAUGGUUAUGGUUUGUUCCAUAAUAAUUGUGUAAAGAUGACUAUGUUGUACAUUACAUAGUUCAGGAUUUAGACUAAGCAUUUGAUCAAUCAGAGUAAAUAUAUAUUAGUUUUUCAUACAUCUUAACUGUCAAGAUAUUUGGGAAGAAAACAAAAAACUGUCAAGAUACAAAGUUAAGGGUCAUUUAAUAAAAUUCACAAAUUAUAAUGUCAAUUUCAGGUUAGCAUAUGACCACACGAUGCAUAGAAGAAUUGAGAAUUAAUGGACAAUUUUAUGUAUCAGUGUUUAAAUUUUCAAGAGAAAGAUAAGCUCCAUUUUCUUGUAAAUGUUAAUUUCGUAACGUGACUUUGUGUUUAUUUGCUCAGUUUUGGCAAUGAGAUUGCAUAAAUUUGUGAUGUAGAGUGUGAAAUCCCGUCCCCAGAUUUCACUAUUUAAAAUUACGUAUUUUCAUAUUAUUAAUUUCAACGCGUUUAUAUUUACGACGUAUGAUUUUUUUGGAAAGCAUCUCGAUCACAUAUUGUGGAAAAGGGAAGCCACGUGAGUGGCUGUAAAAAAAAAUAAAAUGAAAAGGGAGGGAGAUCAGGAAAAAAAAAGGGGAGAGAAGAUGAACAAAGGAAGACGAGAGAAUAGGAGAGAAAGGAGAGAAAGGGGGAGAGUGCAACGAAUCGAGAGAGGAGAGAAUGAGAGGAUGGCCCAAUCAGAGAGGGAGAAAGGAGGGAAAUGAGAGAAGAGAGAAAGAGGGGAAAACCCGGAUUUCCCUUCGACCCACAACCCGGACCCGACUUCUCCAUGAUUUCCGAUGCCUUUUAAGCACCGGCGGGUUCACGGAUGCACGGUGGUGGAAUCACCAUUUGUGAAAUGAUUUCUAUCGAUCCUCACCAUCAAAGUACCUCCCUUGAGCUCAGGAACAAUGCCCAAUCAUUGGUUGGAGCGUCAGAGUUGAUUUGAGGACGAAUUAAGGAACACCCAAUUCUAGGGUUCUGGUGGAUCAAGGCUGAUUUCAGGUAUGAAAAUUAGACUUAGGCUCAGUAUGAAAAUUGAUCCCCUCACUGAGAACUACUUGCCUGUAAAAUUUGGUAAUUUUUUGAAAUAGUUAAAUUUUUCCAACGAGACGGGGCAGUCGACCGCCACGUGCGGCGGUGCAUGGGCUGAGACCCCCACCUACCCUUCCUAGACUAAUUUGGAUACUCUGAUUCCAUAUGUGAAGUUUGAUUGACGAAAUCUCAUCGUAUGACUAUAGUUUGGAUAGAGACCUCCCCUUGAACCUUAAGUGAAUCGACGAUCCGACCGUUGGAUCAUCACCAAACUUUAAUACUUUAUAGUACGUAAUACUUGAGGACACUAGGAACUUACAGAUCGGGAAUCUGACGUAUGGAUCUUCCCGAAUUGGAUUUGUAAGUUUGUAAAAUAAAACGUUGACCGCCACCAGAAAUUGUGAUUAGGGAAGAUCUGACCGUCGGAUCGUGGUGAGAUUUUAGUACGAUGUUCUAUGAGUAAUGAGAACCUUAGGAAGUUACGGAACUAAAAUCCGAUAUGCAGAUCUUUCAGAUUGAAUUAUGUAGAGUUGUGGAUCCUACUGUUGACCGAGAGUUGACUUUUGGUCAACAUGUCUCGAAAUGUUCUAGAUAUUAGAAUUGGUACUAUGGGAGACUAAGUGAAGUCUAGUGGACCCACAUGGUUAGAGAGUGACUUGAGUAUAUGGGAUAGGGUUAUUACCUUAAAUUCUUAUAUUAGUAUCCGUUAUGAAUAUGAAAUGGUUUUAUAAGUGUGAUUUCUAUUGAAAUGUGAUUUUUAUAUAUUUAGCCAUAGACCUAUGUUUAUUAUACAUGAUUUGGCUUGUGUACUGAUGAUGGUUGUAAUAUAUGUGGGUUUAAUUAUCUUUUUAGCAAUGUGAAUGAUGUGUAUGACUAUUGUUAUGGCAAUGUGAGCCUAGAAUCUUAUUAGAAGUAUGUUGUAGAACUUAUAGGCUUGUGUGACAUAUUUGUUGGUAGGCAUGAGAAGUUGAUGGUGUAGGUAACUAUGUUGUAACUCAUAGGGGUUGAGGUAUGGGUAGAUGGUGUGCUAAACUGAUUGCACCAGGUAGCAGUGGUAUUUAGAUGGUCUUGCUUGGUAUAUCCGUGAUGGGGGACCAUACGUAUUUUAGGGGUGAUCAUGCUUGGUAUAUCCGUGAUGGGUGAUCAUUGCAUGCACGAUUGGACUAUGCUUAUGGUCCUCCUUGGUAUAUCCACGAUGGGAGACCAUACGCAUUCUAGAAGUGAUCAUGCUUGGUAUAUCUGCGAUGGGUGAUCACUACCUAGAGCUACAGAAUACAGUCUUGCUUGGUAUAUCCACAAUGGGGGACUGUUAGGGGUGAUCAUGCUUGGUAUAUCCGCGAUGGGUGAUCAUUGCCUAUGUUAUUAGAUUAUGCAUAUGGUUCUGCUUGGUAUAUCCGCAAUGGGGGACCAUAUGUAUUCAAGGGUGAUCAUGCUUGGUAUAUCCGCGAUGGGUGAUCACUGCUUGCACGAUGAGAUUAUGCCUAUGGUCUGCUUGGUAUAUCCAUGAUGGGGGACCAUACGCAUUUUAGAGAUUAUGAUGAUUAGUUGUACUUGGCACAUUUCGAUAGGCGAUCAUAAUUUAGUUUAGAUUCUGUUGAGUGGUCCGGAAUCCCUACUCUUGCUCAUUUCCAUAAGUUAGACUAGAACCCUAGAUUUGAGUGAAUGAGAAUUGCCCACAAUAGACUUUGUGAAUAUAAAUUAGAAUUAUCAGGUUAUUACUUAGAAUCCAAGUAGGGAAUUAUGUAGAAUUCCUUAUUUAAAUUCGUGCAAUGAUAUGUGAUUUGGUUGACUGAUUAACGUAAUUAAAUGUUAAUAUUGUGUCUCCUUGAUUCAUGGAAUGGGUUACUUGAGGUGAUUGUGGAAUAAUGUUGAAUAUGAUUGCUAUUAAUACAAUUAGAUCAGUGAUGUUGUGCUUUGUUGAUUCUUUGAUAUAUUACAUGCAAUGAAUUGCGAUUUUAUGUUGAAACAUAAUGGUUUAUAUGAUGGAUGAAAUAGAAACCUUGAUUGUCAUGUGGGUUCAUUAUGUGGCUUGAAUCGAAUAAUUCAUGCUUGUCAAGUCCAUAUGUUUGAUGGAGGAAUGUUAUGUCUUUUGGCUUGAACGGACUGUGAUAUAUGUCAAGUUGUAGCAAAGGACGAACUACGAAUGACUUGAUCCUUGUUGAGGGUAUGUAGGUAGUUUAACGAGGAGGUUAGAUGCAACCAUAAAAUAUACGGAAAUUACUACACAAUUUGGACCUUGAGUGGUGCUUUAUUCAUAUUCCGGAGGCGGGGUAUGUUAGAUAUACGAGUAUUUGGUGACGUCACGUGUCAAUCCGGGACGUAUGUCGGGAUCGGGGCAUGACAUAGAGUCCCUUUUUUGUUCAAUUUUUGCAUGUUUCAU